AAAUGGAAUAUGGACAUUUUUUAAGUUCUCACAAUAUGGACCAUAUGAUUUCUAACACGAGUGAUGUAUGGGUAUGGUUCAGUAUAUCAAAACUCACAUAACCAAUAGACCUUGUUAUUUUUGGCACACAACCAUUGCAUUCCUAUUAAAUUUAAACACGUCCUCUUGCAUUUUAAACGAACCGAUUACAGAUGCGAAUUCACAUUCAAAAGUUCUAUAAAACAGUAUCACUAACUCGUUUCCCCAUUUUUUCCAACACGUGAAUUUUGAUUAUUACUCUACUCAAAUGU